UUUCCUUUGUUCUCUCCACCAUGCCUUCCACGAUUGAGGGGAUUUUACUCAAUCCCAAUAGUCUUUUGUUUUUACAUCUUUCAGAUACUCCUGGAUCGCUGCUCGUCUGACAUCAAUUGGUUCGAUCUGAGAAUUAUAAUGUGUGGAGCCAUUCGAUGCAAAUCGCUCUUUGGCUAAAAACAAGUCCGAUUUUGUGGAUGGAUGUUGACAACGGGAAGAUUAGGAGUUGGAGCUACGCACUCAGUGGAAUUGUUGCAACGCCAUUGUUCUCUCCUGGAUCCUUAAUACCUUGAGCAAGGAGUUGUCGACUGAAAUUGUUUUUGCGUCAAGCGCUGCGCUCGUUUGGGAAGGCUUGAGGGAACACUUCAACAAGAUCGAUGUGACAAAGAUUUUUUAUCUUCAUCGUGAGACAACUACUUUAACUCAAGUUGUUUCAGUUUCUUAUGGGGCUCAACGAAUCCUAUUAUGCUAUACGAAUCCUACCAGAAUCAACCCUAUUCAAUGGUCAUUCAGGAAGAAUCGCAUCGAUUUUUCACUGUUUCUAAUUCAAGAACUAUGUUUACUAAUGAUGUUUCUCGCCAACGUUUCAUGGGAAAUUGUGAUCAUUUUCAUGUUCGUGGCCACAAUAAAGAGUCCUGCUAUUGACUCACUGGGUUUCCCCUCGAUUUCAAGUUCGACAGGAAGAAAGUUUCUCAGGUUGCCUUAUCUCUUGAUCAUGCUAAUGCUGAUGUUUCCUCGAUCUCUCCUAUGAGUCACGACUCUUUUUCGACUGCACAUGUCUUCACCAAGGAUCAGUAUAAUCAGCUUUUGGCAUUGUUGAACAAAGGGCCUUCUCAUGAACCUGCAGUUAAUAUGGACCUCUCUACUGGAAGGAUGAGGCAGAUUGGUAGACAGUGUGGUGGUCUUUACGUGUUCAAGUCUUCAUCUAAGGGUCUUGCUUCGGGUUUGCCUUCUUCCCAUUUUCCAUUUGAAAAUAAUAACAUCUCUUCACGUAUGACCUAUGUUGUUAAUAAAACAAAUAUAUGGCAUGCUCGUUUAGGGCAUGCCCUUUUG